rnacentral:rRNA from 1 species
UACGGAGGGUGCAAGCGUUAUCCGGAUUCACUGGGUUUAAAGGGUGCGUAGGUGGGUUGGUAAGUCAGUGGUGAAAUCCCCGAGCUUAACUUGGGAACUGCCAUUGAUACUAUCAGUCUCGAAUACCGUGGAGGUCAGCGGAAUAUGUCAUGUAGCGGUGAAAUGCUUAGAUAUGACAUAGAACACCAAUUGCGAAGGCAGCUGGCUACACGGAUAUUGACACUGAGGCACGAAAGCGUGGGGAUCAAACAGG